rnacentral:hammerhead_ribozyme from 1 species
AUCUAGCUGAAAAAGUCCCAGAUAGGAGUAAACGCGCGUCCUGGAU